rnacentral:rRNA from 1 species
UACGUAGGGUGCAAGCGUUAAUCGGAAUUACUGGGCGUAAAGCGUGCGCAGGCGGUUAUGUAAGACAGAUGUGAAAUCCCCGGGCUCAACCUGGGAACUGCAUUUGUGACUGCAUGGCUAGAGUACGGUAGAGGGGGAUGGAAUUCCGCGUGUAGCAGUGAAAUGCGUAGAUAUGCGGAGGAACACCGAUGGCGAAGGCAAUCCCCUGGACCUGUACUGACGCUCAUGCACGAAAGCGUGGGGAGCAAACAGGAUUAGAAACCCGGAGUAAGU